CUUUAAACUGCAUGUUAUCACUAUAACACCCUAACCGCAUGCUUUCACACCUCUAGACCGAUUAUAUACCAUCUCAUAAACACAUUAUGGCAUAUGUCAGGAGAGAUAUACUACACUUGUAACACCUGCAUCUAAUUGCUCACUCUCCUUUUUGUUUGUAGAGGUCACUCUGUCUGAGGAGGGAUACGGCCUGGUUGUGGACAGAUACAAGGGCAUCAUCUCUGUUGAGCGGGAAACAGCUACUGUCACCGCCCUCAAGCCAGGUCAUGCGACACUAACGGUUACACACAACAAUCUGCCCCCUGAAAUAACGUCCCAACUCCCUCGCACUUCUGUAUAUGUGGUGAAGCCCAGGUAUAUGAGUGAGUUACACACAAAACACACAGAAAAUAUAUUAAACCACACACCUGUAUUAAGGUUUAGUUACAUUUGUCUGUGUGUCUCAGCGUUGAGUAUUGAGGAGGGAGAGGAAAGAUGGGUGUUGGAGACAGGGCGGCAGUAUUAUUUGACUGUUCGUAUCCAUGGCAACAAGGCCCAUGUUGUUCACCUGUCACAGGUUGUGCUUCAUAGUCAUCGGUUUAUGCACUGUUUGCUUCACUGCAUUUCUUGACAGGAGCAUAGCGUCUGAACUUUAACCCUGUGCAGAAUGUGAUGAUUGUUGUGGAGGAGACUGAGGGAUUAGUGACACUUCAGUCUUUGUCUGAUCCUGCCUGCCAUCUCCUUCAGACCAUCAUGAAAGGAAAGACUUUAAAACAGGCCUUACUUUAUAGCAUCGUCUCUGAGGUAACACACUCACAAAUACAUACACACUAAGAUUUGAUAAUACCACUAAGAUUUGAAUUGGUGCAGGAAAUUUUUUUAGCUGUUUUUUUAC
ensembl:lncRNA